ensembl:lncRNA
UUUCUGGGACACAAAUGCACGGGAGCCAAAUAACAACAGUCUUUUAAGGACAGUAAGGCAAAAUACAGGAACUGGGACAUUUCUAACAGGUUCUCUACCAGCUUCUGGUACCAGACCCUCAUGUGGAGUGAAGCUACAAAGCCUAUGGAAAUACAUGAGGUGAUUUUAUUCUGCUUAGAAAAAAAGGCAAAGUGAAAGGCAUCUCCUCCCUACCCAAAGGAGCAAGUCAGGGAGUGAAGCCUGUGGGUGAAGAUCAAGACUGAGGGAAAAAGGGAGGUCCCUAGAUGCCAUUCUGUGGUACCUCUGCUGUUUCAAAGAGCAUGUAAUGGAACACCGUCAUCCUUAAGCAUUGCUAGCAGACUGUCUUCAGACAAGAAGGCUUAGGACGUAUACAUCAAAGCUGCC